rnacentral:lncRNA from 1 species
UGCCCCCCGCCGCCGCCGUCGUGACCUUGCCGUCAACCACCUACUGUACCCGUCUCUCUCUCUCUGUCUGUUAACCCUAGCAGCCGCAGUCGCUCGAGCUCUCAAUCGCAAACCCUAGGAGCGUCUUCGUCGGCCCCUAAUCGGAGCCUCCUAGGUAGGAGAACCUUCUCCCAACCAGUUUCUUCUCCUUCUCCGCCGACCUCUCUGGUCUGCUUCACCUCGCUCGCCGCCGUUGCAGCGCUGCCUUUGUCUCCCUCUCUGUCUCGUCUUGCUCUCGCGUCUACACAACACAGCGUCGGCCCUUCUUCUUUCUUUUUCCUUGUUAAUAAAUCCCUAAAUUUCUACAAAAAACCCCCAAAUUUUCAGAUUCGACCAACCUCUCAUCCGAUUAAGUAGUUCACUGUAGAAAAUCACCUAAAUCAAUGACUACUUCGACGGAUAAAGCUGAGCGCGCAGACUAUGAGAAAUUACCUAAAUCGGCGGCUACUUCGGUGGAUGAAGCGGGGCACGCACGCUCUGAGAAAUCACCUAAAUCGGCGGCUACUUCGGUGAUGAAGCUGAUAACUUGAUUUCAUUUGUGUGUAAUUUUUUUUAUUUUCCUGACCAGGAACC